rnacentral:misc_RNA from 1 species
GAGAGAGAGAGAGAGAGAGGUUUUCAUACUUUCAAAUGGCAAUAACUUCAGUUGCCUAGGCUUUCUGCGAUGAAGAUCAUGAUAUUUAUGAAAUCCCACCUUCCUGAUUUCGAUUUGUUCACGAGCGUGGUGUUCAUCUUGUGAAUUCUUUUUUACAUUUUCCUUAGCAGUUGUUAUAAUUAUAAACAGAAGUGCAAUAUGAAAAGGAAAGAUCAAGAAAUUGGAUCAUCAAAA